GGGCCCGCACAAGCGGUGGAGUAUGUGGUUUAAUUCGAUGCAACGCGAAGAACCUUACCAGGGUUUGACAUCCUGCGAAUCCCUUGGAAACGAGGGAGUGCCUUCGGGAGCGCAGUGACAGGUGGUGCAUGGCUGUCGUCAGCUCGUGUCGUGAGAUGUUGGGUUAAGUCCCGCAACGAGCGCAACCCACGUCGUUAGUUGCCAGCAUUCAGUUGGGCACUCUAGCGAGACCGCCGGUGAUAAACCGGAGGAAGGUGUGGAUGACGUCAAGUCAUCAUGCCCCUUACAUCCUGGGCUACACACGUACUACAAUGCUACGGACAAAGGGCAGCAAACUCGCGAGAGCUAGCAAAUCCCAUAAACCGUGGCUCAGUUCAGAUCGUAGGCUGCAACUCGCCUACGUGAAGGAGGAAUCGCUAG
rnacentral:rRNA from 1 species